rnacentral:tRNA from 1 species
GUGGAAUUAGUGAAGUGGCAUCAUGCCUGCUUUGGGAGCAGGUGGCAGGGGUUCGAUUCCUCUAUUCCGCA